UCAUCUUUAGUAGAAUUUGUUUUAUAUUAUCUUGAUAAGGUAAAGUUAAUAAGAUGAA
rnacentral:tRNA from 1 species